GUGAAGUCUCUGCGGCUCUGCAGUGGACGCCAAGCUAUGGAUUACAUCUCUGAGAGCAUUGAUUUCUAUCUCGGGGUGAAUGAGUGCGAGGCCCGACUCCUCCCGGUGGGAAGGGGAGGAAGACUUCAGCAGCAAAGGGACGCUGAUUGGAAAACAAGAUUCUCCUGACCGACUCGGUUCCCUCUCGUACCUCGCCGGACAGAAGACCGAUGACGUCCCCAUCCGACUGCAUCCAUCAGGGAGCAGCAAACAACUCUUAUCCGACAUCGUACCUCAUGGAGAACAAACACCAUCUUCCUGACUUCCCGUGGGCGGUACCAGGGUGUCCUCACCGUCAUGGCGAUCCCGUCUUCACUGCGAUAAACACACACACACACAC
ensembl:lncRNA